rnacentral:rRNA from 1 species
ACAGGGAGGUAGUGACAAGAAAUAACAAUACAGGACUUUUUGGUUUUGUAAUUGGAAUGAGUUAAGUAUAAACCCCUUUACAAGUAUCAAUUGGAGGGCAAGUCUGGUGCCAGCAGCCGCGGUAAUUCCAGCUCCAAUAGCGUAUAUUAAAGUUGUUGCAGUUAAAAAGCUCGUAGUUGGAUUUCUGUUAAUAAUUUAUAUAAAAUAUUUUGAUGAAUAUUUAUAUAAUAUUAACAUAAUUCAUAUUACUAUAUUUUUUAGUAUAUGAAAUUUUACUUUGAGAAAAUUAGAGUGCUUAAAGCAGGCAUAUGCCUUGAAUACUCCAGCAUGGAAUAAUAUUAAAGAUUUUUAUCUUUCUUAUUGGUUCUAAGAUAAGAAUAAUGAUUAAUAGGGACAGUUGGGGGCAUUUGUAUUUAACAGUCAGAGGUGAAAUUCUUAGAUUUGUUAAAGACAAACUAAUGCGAAAGCAUUUGCCAAGGAUGUUUUCAUUAAUCAAGAACGAAAGUUAGGGGAUCGAAGACGAUCAGAUACCGUCGUAGUCUUAACCAUAAACUAUGCCAACUAGAGAUUGGAGGUUGUUCCUUACUCCUU